rnacentral:rRNA from 1 species
AGUCGAGUUGUUUGGGAAUGCUGCUCAAAAUGGGAGGUAAACCCCUUCUAAAGCUAAAUAUUGGCCAGAGACCGAUAGCGCACAAGUAGAGUGAUCGAAAGAUGAAAAGCACUUUGAAAAGAGAGUUAAACAGCACGUGAAAUUGUUGAAAGGGAAGSGCUUGCGACCAGACUUGCGCCCGUCGGAUCAACCGUCCCUCGUGGGCGGCGCACUCCGGCGGGCUCAGGCCAGCAUCAGUUUUCCUGGGGGGAGAAAGGCGGUGGGAAUGUAGCUCCUCGGAGUGUUAUAGCCCGCCGCGUAAUGCCCCCGGGGGGACUGAGGACCGCGCGAAAGCAAGGAUGCUGGCGUAAUGGUCGUCAGCNACCCGUCUUGAAACAC